rnacentral:rRNA from 1 species
UACGUAGGGUGCAAGCGUUGUCCGGAAUUAUUGGGCGUAAAGAGCUCGUAGGCGGUUUGUCGCGUCUGCUGUGAAAACUCGGGGCUCAACUCCGAGCUUGCAGUGGGUACGGGCAGACUAGAGUGCGGUAGGGGAGACUGGAAUUCCUGGUGUAGCGGUGAAAUGCGCAGAUAUCAGGAGGAACACCGGUGGCGAAGGCGGGUCUCUGGGCCGUAACUGACGCUGAGGAGCGAAAGCGUGGGGAGCGAACAGG